UCUCUGGUGGUCCAGUGGCUAAGACUCUGCACUCACAAUGCAGAGGGCCCAGGUUUGAUUGCUGGUCAGGGAA